GUGCCAGCCGCCGCGGUAAUACGUAGGGUGCAAGCGUUAAUCGGAAUUACUGGGCGUAAAGCGUGCGCAGGCGGUUUCGUAAGACAGAUGUGAAAGCCCCGGGCUCAACCUGGGAAGUGCAUUUGUGACUGCGAGACUAGAGUGUGUCAGAGGGAGGUAGAAUUCCACGUGUAGCAGUGAAAUGCGUAGAGAUGUGGAGGAAUACCGAUGGCGAAGGCAGCCUCCUGGGAUAACACUGACGCUCAUGCACGAAAGCGUGGGGAGCAAACAGGAUUAGAUACCCUGGUAGUCCACGCCCUAAACGAUGUCUACUAGUUGUCGGGGAUUCGUUUCCUUGGUAACGCAGCUAACGCGUGAAGUAGACCGCCUGGGGAGUACGGCCGCAAGGUUAAAACUCAAAGAAAUUGACGG
rnacentral:rRNA from 1 species